rnacentral:rRNA from 1 species
UGGGGAAUAUUGCGCAAUGGGCGAAAGCCUGACGCAGCGACGCCGCGUGAGGGAUGAAGGUUUUCGGAUCGUAAACCUCUGUCAGAAGGGAAGAAACCGCACUGUGCUAAUCAGCAGUGCCUUGACGGUACCUUCAAAGGAAGCACCGGCUAACUCCGUGCCAGCAGCCGCGGUAAUACGGAGGGUGCAAGCGUUAAUCGGAAUAACUGGGCGUAAAGCGCACGUAGGCUGCUUUGUAAGUCAGGGGUGAAAUCCCACGGCUCAACCGUGGAACUGCCUUUGAUACUGCUUAGCUUGAAUCCGGGAGAGGGUGGCGGAAUUCCAGGUGUAGGAGUGAAAUCCGUAGAUAUCUGGAGGAACAUCAGUGGCGAAGGCGGCCACCUGGACCGGUAUUGACGCUGAGGUGCGAAAGCGUGGGGAGCAAACAGG